GACGAACGCUGGCGGCGUGCUUAACACAUGCAAGUCGAACGGAAAGGCCCUGCUUUUGUGGGGUGCUCGAGUGGCGAACGGGUGAGUAACACGUGAGUAACCUGCCCUUGACUUUGGUAUAACUUCAGGAAACUGGGGCUAAUACCGGAUAGGAGCUCCUGCUUCAUGGUGGGGGUUGGAAAGUUUCGGCGGUUGGGGAUGGACUCGCGGCUUAUCAGCUUGUUGGUGGGGUAGUGGCUUACCAAGGCGUUGACGGGUAGCCGGCCUGAGAGGGUGACCGGCCACAUUGGGACUGAGAUACGGCCCAGACUCCUACGGGAGGCAGCAGUGGGGAAUAUUGCACAAUGGGCGGAAGCCUGAUGCAGCAACGCCGCGUGCGGGAUGACGGCCUUCGGGUUGUAAACCGCUUUCGCCUGUGACGAAGCGUGAGUGACGGUAAUGGGUAAAGAAGCACCGGCUAACUACGUG
rnacentral:rRNA from 1 species